ACCCUGGGCAGUAGAAAGAAGGAACAGAAAGCAGAGUAGAUUAAGAGGAGCAAGUACAAAUGGCGUGGGACUUCAAAUCACCACCUAAGAUUACUUCUUUGAUUUCUGAAAAAGUAGGUCAAAGGAAGAUGUCAGGGGCAAGAAACCAAUUGGGUGUUGUGCCUAAGAACGUGGACCCUGUGGCCAGACUGCUUGGAUCAGUGUCCUCCCUCCACCACUUUGUAGCCAUCUGACCUCAGUGCUGGAGCAGAGGUACUGAAUGAGGAAGUGGAGUCUUGGGAUACCUUUGGAGGGAUCCAGUUAAUGGACUGGCUGCCAUAAUUGGUCUGAGACACUGGUGCAAGCAUGAGAAUGGGAAUCUACAGGUCUCUAUCCCUGGUGAGCCCGGAGGUUGAGUUUUCACAAGGGCAGCAAGAAGAAUCCCUUCUCCUCUUCCUGUCCACCUUCUGAAGAGGAGGAGACAGAGCCGGGUUGCAGAUCCUCACCAAAGUGGAUGCUGUUCCCAGAGGAAGGAAGGCCCCCCCGGGGCAAGGUUGCCAACAUGACCCCACAGAGACCAGGAACAAACGUUCUUGCCUUUGGACUUCACUUCUUCACAGAGCCAGAGUUACAGGCCAACCUGAAGAUGGUAUCAUGACUCACACACACUUAUUUCUCAGCCUCAGCCAGGCUCAAGAGCAAGACUGCUGAAGGAGGAAGGGCCCUUCAUGGCCUCCUCUGCCUCGUGACUGCUUUACCUGCCACUGAUGAGGCUUCCCUGGGAUGAGAUGGAGACGAGGGCACUGAAUGACUUUGAGUUAGGGGGACUCAAGAGGGUGAGGGCACCAUGAUCAUUACCCCUUCAGUCUCCUGUCUCCCUCUUGGCAUCUCUGCAACACAGAAGGCUGGCAAUGGUGAGAUAUUAUAUUGUCAAUUAUUCAAACUUUAGAAUUUUCUGAUGCCUCAACAUCCCUGCAAAUGGGCUGUGAGCACCUUGCCCAGGUGACCAGGUGCACCAGUGUGCUAAGGCUGGUCCGGGCCACAGGUUCCCCACUUUGUGCUCCCCUGACUGGGACCUAGUGACAUCAACACCACCAGUGCAAUCCCCUCACACCUUUUGCUUGUGGAUUCCCCUCUGAAGUCCAAUAAAGGCGCUUGUCUGA
rnacentral:lncRNA from 1 species